AAGAUAAGAGAUCGAGAGGGAGAGAUCCGGUCGAUUCGUGAAGCCCAAAACCCAGCAGUAACCCAGCCCAUAAUCCAUUCAACCCAAAGCCCACGAGCCAAACCUAGAACACUCAAGCCCAUUCAGCAAGCCCGAGAUCCAUAAGCCCGAGACCCAUCAACCCGGAACCCCGACCCGCCGCCGGCAGUUUCUCCGGCGACUUCUCCGGCAACUUCUCCGGCGACUUUUCCGACCACUUUUCCGGCGACUUUCCGGCCACUUUUCCGGCGACUUUCCGGCUAUUUUCCCCGGCGACCAAACUCACCGUUUCGCUGGAUUUUCGAGUGGAAAUCCUUAAUAUGAUGAAUUGAGACAGCACAAAAAGGACUAUGACUGUGCAGGCACAGACACUGACGAGUAUCAGGAUUAUCAGGAGCCUUAUGAUGAUUCUGGUUUCAUAGAUGAGACUGUCUAAAGUCUCCUUUUUAUGAUAGACUUGCUGAACAGUUUAUCUCCCAUGUCGUUAUUAGGUUUUAUUUUAUGUACUUUCUAGACAUCUUAUGCUUUAUUUUAUGGUUUGUAAUAUGACUACUAUUACAUAGAACGUGUGCCGUGAUGGCCCUUAUGUUAUUGCUUUUGUGUGUAUUUAUUUUUAAGACCUUUUAUUAUUAUUUUAAUGUAAGUUGAGGUAUUUAAUUUAAAGGCUCUAAUGUGUUAUUUAAUCC